ACAUGCAAGUCGAGCGAACGGACGAGAAGCUUGCUUCUCUGAUGUUAGCGGCGGACGGGUGAGUAACACGUGGAUAACCUACCUAUAAGACUGGGAUAACUUCGGGAAACCGGAGCUAAUACCGGAUAAUAUUUUGAACCGCAUGGUUCAAAAGUGAAAGACGGUCUUGCUGUCACUUAUAGAUGGAUCCGCGCUGCAUUAGCUAGUUGGUAAGGUAACGGCUUACCAAGGCAACGAUGCAUAGCCGACCUGAGAGGGUGAUCGGCCACACUGGAACUGAGACACGGUCCAGACUCCUACGGGAGGCAGCAGUAGGGAAUCUUCCGCAAUGGGCGAAAGCCUGACGGAGCAACGCCGCGUGAGUGAUGAAGGUCUUCGGAUCGUAAAACUCUGUUAUUAGGGAAGAACAUAUGUGUAAGUAACUGUGCACAUCUUGACGGUACCUAAUCAGAAAGCCACGGCUAACUACGUGCCAGCAGCCGCGGUAAUACGUAGGUGGCAAGCGUUAUCCGGAAUUAUUGGGCGUAAAGCGCGCGUAGGCGGUUUUUUAAGUCUGAUGUGAAAGCCCACGGCUCAACCGUGGAGGGUCAUUGGAAACUGGAAAACUUGAGUGCAGAAGAGGAAAGUGGAAUUCCAUGUGUAGCGGUGAAAUGCGCAGAGAUAUGGAGGAACACCAGUGGCGAAGGCGACUUUCUGGUCUGUAACUGACGCUGAUGUGCGAAAGCGUGGGGAUCAAACAGGAUUAGAUACCCUGGUAGUCCACGCCGUAAACGAUGAGUGCUAAGUGUUAGGGGGUUUCCGCCCCUUAGUGCUGCAGCUAACGCAUUAAGCACUCCGCCUGGGGAGUACGACCGCAAGGUUGAAACUCAAAGGAAUUGACGGGGACCCGCACAAGCGGUGGAGCAUGUGGUUUAAUUCGAAGCAACGCGAAGAACCUUACCAAAUCUUGACAUCCUUUGACAACUCUAGAGAUAGAGCUUUCCCCUUCGGGGGACAAAGUGACAGGUGGUGCAUGGUUGUCGUCAGCUCGUGUCGUGAGAUGUUGGGUUAAGUCCCGCAACGAGCGCAACCCUUAAGCUUAGUUGCCAUCAUUAAGUUGGGCACUCUAAGUUGACUGCCGGUGACAAACCGGAGGAAGGUGGGGAUGACGUCAAAUCAUCAUGCCCCUUAUGAUUUGGGCUACACACGUGCUACAAUGGACA
rnacentral:rRNA from 1 species